AUUUAUACUUGCUAAUGGUAUCUAACGCAAACAUAAUUCAUCAGCAAUCAUAAGAAUGCAGGCAGAUCAUGGAAACCUAAUCAAACCUAAUUAAGAAGAGUACACAAGACGAUUGACAUCAAUCUUUCUCGACUUCACGUCAUCACAAUCAAAUCCACAUCCACAGGUGGGGCACUCGUUGAAAUUACUCACAGGAAAAUCUGCAGAAGCGAUCCCUACCGAGAACUCAAGCUCAUCGUCAUCUCGGAUCACUGUUGUGAUACUAAGCCAGAAAAAGAGGAUCUUGACUUGGAUACCACUCAAGCUAGAGAGCUUGUCUUUCUUUAUCACACCCGUAAUGGUAGUCUUGUACUUGAGCUCAUAAGAAUCAAUUGUGAACGUACAAGUUGCGUUGAGAUAAACCGAGAAUUUACCUGUGGAAGUGUCUAAUUCGUAGCUUGUUACUCCGUUUGGAAGGAGACCAAUUGGGAAAUCGUAUUCUUGGAGAACUUCAUAGGCUGUUAAAUUGGUGCUGCCGGAGACGGAAUAGAUUGAUGAUGAGACCAGAAAGAGAAGAAUUGCGCAGAGAAAGGCCAUGGAGGAGAUGGGGGUCGAUGGGAAGGUGAAACCCAUGUGCCUUCUUCCUUCUCAGAGUCUUAUGUAGAGCUGAAGCAGUUGGAGUUUUGACUGUUAGUUAUGGAGUGGC
rnacentral:misc_RNA from 1 species